CCACGCUGUUCCCUAGGAACACUCCUUCCUGCUCCGCAUGCCUCCAAGGCCGAGGAAGGCCACAAAGGCAGAGAGGGAACCCAGAGCCAGGAGAGCUGGGGUCUGGAUUUGAAACAGAAGUGGGCAGAACCAGGGGUCUACUGAGGCAGGAAAGAUCCCAAGAGGCCUGAGAUGGAACCACCAAAGGAAUACAAGAAAGGUGCCAGCAACAGCACAGGCAAAGAUGCAAGGAGUGGCAAGGCCCAGGGGCGAGAAGGAGACAGAAGCAGAGGAGACGCGGGCGCAGAGAAGAAGGCCCUGUGAGGGCAGAGACUGGAGUGACACGGUGCAAACCGAGGAAUGCCUGGAGCCGCCGGGAGCCGGGAGAGGCAGGAAAGAUUCUCGCCACAAACCUUUGGAGGGAGCACAACCCUGC
rnacentral:lncRNA from 1 species